AGUGAACGCUGGCGGUAGGCCUAACACAUGCAAGUCGAACGGCAGCACAGUAAGAGCUUGCUCUUACGGGUGGCGAGUGGCGGACGGGUGAGGAAUACAUCGGAAUCUACUUUUUCGUGGGGGAUAACGUAGGGAAACUUACGCUAAUACCGCAUACGACCUACGGGUGAAAGCAGGGGAUCUUCGGACCUUGCGCGAUUCAAUGAGCCGAUGUCGGAUUAGCUAGUUGGCGGGGUAAAGGCCCACCAAGGCGACGAUCCGUAGCUGGUCUGAGAGGAUGAUCAGCCACACUGGAACUGAGACAUGGUCCAGACUCCUACGGGAGGCAGCAGUGGGGAAUAUUGGACAAUGGGCGCAAGCCUGAUCCAGCCAUACCGCGUGGGUGAAGAAGGCCUUCGGGUUGUAAAGCCCUUUUGUUGGGAAAGAAAAGCAGCAGGUUAAUACCCCGCUGUUCUGACGGUACCCAAAGAAUAAGCACCGGCUAACUUCGUG
rnacentral:rRNA from 1 species